AACGAACGUUGGCGGCGUGGAUUAGGCAUGCAAGUCGAACGAAUCCCAGUCUUGUAGCAAUACUUGAUUGGGGGAAGUGGCGAAAGGGGCAGUAAUGCAUGGGUAACCUACCCUGGGGACGUGGAUAGCCAUUCUAACGAGUGGAUAAUACGCGGCGAUCUGGUUGAGGGGCAUCUCUUGGCCAGGAAAUGAAUUUCGCCUCGGGAGGGGCUCAUGUGAUAUUAGCUAGUUGGUGGGGUAAAGGCCUACCAAGGCAAAGAUGUCUAGCGGGUGUGAGAGCACGACCCGCGCCACUGGCACUGAGACACUGGCCAGACACCUACGGGUGGCUGCAGUCGAGGAUCUUGGCAAUGAGCGCAAGCUUGACCAAGCGACGCCGCGUGUGCGAUGAAGGCCUUCGGGUUGUAAAGCACUGUCGAGGGGGACGAAGCCGCAAGGUUGACCGAUCCCUGGAGGAAGCACGGGCUAAGUUCGUGCCAGCAGCCGCUGUAACAC
rnacentral:rRNA from 1 species